rnacentral:rRNA from 1 species
UACGUAGGGGGCAAGCGUUGUCCGGAUUUAUUGGGCGUAAAGAGCGUGUAGGCGGCCAGGUAGGUCUGCUGUGAAAACUCGAGGCUCAACCUCGAGACGCCGGCGGAAACCAUCUGGCUAGAGUCCGGAAGAGGAAAGCGGAAUUCCUGGUGUAGCGGUGAAAUGCGCAGAUAUCAGGAAGAACACCCGUGGCGAAGGCGGCUUUCUGGGACGGUACUGACGCUGAGACGCGAAAGCGUGGGGAGCGAACAGG